rnacentral:pre_miRNA from 1 species
AGUGGGAUUGCUGGAUCAUAUGGUAGUUUUAUUUUUUGGAGAAAUUUCUAUUUUGUUUUCCAUAGAGGUUGCACUAUUUUACCUUACCACCAAUAGU